rnacentral:lncRNA from 1 species
AACAACAACUGGGAAGCCUUCUCAGCUACACUUCGGGGCACUGGUCCAACCCCACGCAAAAUCCCUCGUUUCCCUUAGCGUGCAGAACCACGGGCACGGUGAUGAUGGUGACAAGCGCAGCAGCACCCAGCAGUCCCAGAAGAACCUUCCACGGUGUCUGCAAGCCGAGCAGAUCAAGUCCAAUUAGAGGGAAGCGUGUGGCCCCAGUUUCCGUAGGAGGGUCGGGGCUGCUCCAGAGGCAGCAGGAUUUGCAGGAAGGAAGACUGUACACAGAGAAUAAAUAACUUGGCCAAGCCAUUCAGCUAGGAAGUUGUAGAUCCUAAAUUAAGAGUUCAAGGUCUUAAUGGCUACUCUAUGCGGCCUCUCAUAGUCUUUUCAAGGGUUUUGGAGAAGAAUAAAAGAUCAGGUAUGGCUUCUCCCUCCCCCAGCUCUCUAUUGUUCCCUAAAGGAUUAUUCAUUCGUUCAUUCAUUCCUACAUCCUCCCAUUUAUUCCAGUCAUCCACAGAUGUUUGAGUGGUUACAAUGUGCCAGCCUCCCUUCUAGGUACUGGAGAUAAAGUGGGACAAGAGAGGUGAGGUCUGGACCCUUGGCACUUUCACGAUAAAAUACACAGGUAAACAUUUGCCUUUAGGGCCCCCUGUGAUUACUUCCACUCUUGCAGAUAAGAGGAUAAGGCCUCUUCAGCUUGUUCACAGCAGCUGAAAAGCAAAGCCUCUCUGUCAGUAGAGGUAAAAGAUUAAGAAUGCAGAGUCCGAUGGGGCAUUACCACAUGAUUAUGAAUUAAUGCAAUUUUCCAUCUUUUAUUUCCAAUCCAGGCAUUGCUUUUGAACUCAGUCAUCUUUUCCCCCUUGCCCACUAGUUGCUUGUGAUACAUCAGUAUCCUCACUCACCCCCAACUCCAGAGGCUGAAACUAACUCUCCUCCUCCCUCUUCCAACUGCUGAGGAAGAUGAGUCAAUGGUGUUACUGGACCCUGUGAACUGAUGCUGUGAAGAGAGGCCAUUUAACACGGACUACGGGGAAUGGUGCCACAGGGGGCUCAGUGCUGCCCUUCACUCUCAGCAUUUUGCUCACUCAGCAUUGAUGACAGGAUGUCCCAAAAGUAACAAAAGAUGGGAGCCAGUCCUCUCAUAGCUGUUUCUUCAAUCAUCCCAUCAACAGCUCUUCAUUUAUUGAACUACCUUCCUUUUCCAAAGAGGUAAUGCUGAGAUCAGUCAGAAAGGCUUUCUGAGAAAACUGGCUUGGAUUUCUGGGUCUGUUGCAGUCAAUUCAAGAUGAACUGGCUUGUAUCAAUGAAGCGCUCAAUGCAGUUCACAAAACAGGCCUCAGCCCGACUGUCCAACUUUGGCCCAGGCUUGUCCAUGCACUUCUCCCAACAAAGUUCAGUCAUCUGGUGCACCAGCUGCUGGAAGCGCUGCUUUUGAGUCUCUACCUCAAUGAAAAUGCUGCAACUGCGGGUCCACUGCACCCAAACCCGCCGCAGAGGAAGAGCAGGAGGAAUCCAUCCCAGGACAACCAUGCUUGCAGAGACGAACUCCGCACCAACCUUCACGUGUCUCCACGACCUAGUUAAUCAAUUUAAAAUGAGGUCACUAGGGUGGGCCCCAAUCCAAUAUGACUGAUAACUUUAUAAAAAGGAGAGAUUUGGAUACAGAAAGAGACAGAGUGAAAACCAUGUGAAGAAACAUAGGAAAAGAUGGCAGCUACAAGCCAAGGAGAAGCUUGCAGUGUGUAUUCAUCUGUUCUCAUGCUGUUAAUAAAGACAUACCUGAGACUGGGUAAUUUAUAAAGGAAAGAAACUUAAUUGACUCACACUUCCACAUGCUGG